rnacentral:rRNA from 1 species
ACUUGCUUUCUUUGCUGGCGACCGGCGCACGGGUGAGUAACACGUAUCCAACCUGCCCUUUACUCGGGGAUAGCCUUUCGAAAGAAAGAUUAAUACCCGGUAGUAUAAUGAUUCCGCAUGGUUUCAUUAUUAAAGGAUUCCGGUAAAGGAUGGGGAUGCGUUCCAUUAGGUUGUUGGUGAGGUAACGGCUCACCAAGCCUUCGAUGGAUAGGGGUUCUGAGAGGAAGGUCCCCCACAUUGGAACUGAGACACGGUCCAAACUCCUACGGGAGGCAGCAUG